rnacentral:sRNA from 1 species
UUUUAAGGGAGGCAGAAAAGCUGGUUGCCACCAAGAUUCAUCCAAUGACAAUAAUAUCAGGUUUCCGAAUGGCAGCAGAGUGUGCUCGGAAUGCUUUGUUAGAGAAGGUUGUGGACAACAAAGCUGAUUCUGG